rnacentral:rRNA from 1 species
UCGAGAAUUUUUCACAAUGGGCGCAAGCCUGAUGGAGCGACGCCGCGUGGGGGAUGAAUGGCUUCGGCCCGUAAACCCCUGUCAUUUGCGAUCAACCGUUAUUGUUUAAGAGAUGAUAACCUGAUAGUAGCGAAAGAGGAAGGGACGGCUAACUCUGUGCCAGCAGCCGCGGUAAUACAGAGGUCCCAAGCGUUGUUCGGAUUCACUGGGCGUAAAGGGUGCGUAGGUGGCGAAGUAAGUCGGAUGUGAAAUCUCCGAGCUCAACUCGGAAACUGCAUUGGAAACUACUUUGCUUGAGGGUUGGAGGGGGGACUGGAAUACUUGGUGUAGCAGUGAAAUGCGUAGAUAUCAAGUGGAACACCAGUGGCGAAGGCGAGUCCCUGGACAACUCCUGACACUGAGGCACGAAAGCUAGGGGAGCAAACA